rnacentral:rRNA from 1 species
CCUACGGGAGGCAGCAGUGGGGAAUAUUGGGCAAUGGACGCAAGUCUGACCCAGCAACGCCGCGUGAAGGAAGACGGCUUUCGGGUUGUAAACUUCUUUUAAGGGGGAAGAGCUGAAGACGGUACCCCUUGAAUAAGCCACGGCUAACUACGUGCCAGCAGCCGCGGUAAUACGUAGGUGGCAAGCGUUGUCCGGAUUUACUGGGUGUAAAGGGCGUGCAGCCGGAGAGAUAAGUCAGAUGUGAAAUCCACGGGCUCAACCCGUGGCCUGCAUUUGAAACUGUUUCCCUUGAGAGUCGGAGCGGUAAUCGGAAUGAGUAGUGUAGCGGUGAAAUGCGUAGAUAUUAGGAAGAACACCAGUGGCGAAGGCGGAUUACUGGACGAUAAUUGACGGUGAGGCGCGAAAGCGUGGGGAGCAAACAGGAUUAGAUACCCGUGUAGUC